CCCAGACUCCUACGGGAGGCAGCAGUGGGGGAUAUUGCACAAUGGGGGAAACCCUGAUGCAGCGACGCCGCGUGGGUGAAGAAGUAUUUCGGUAUGUAAAGCCCUAUCAGCAGGGAAGAAAGAAGACGGUACCUGACUAAGAAGCCCCGGCUAACUACGUGCCAGCAGCCGCGGUAAUACGUAGGGGGCGAGCGUUAUCCGGAUUCACUGGGUGUAAAGGGAGCGUAGACGGCCGUGUAAGCCAGGAGUGAAAGCCCGGGGCCCAACCCCGGGACUGCUCUUGGAACUGUGCGGCUGGAGUGCGGGAGGGGCAGGCGGAAUUCCUGGUGUGGCGGUGAAAUGCGUAGAUAUCAGGAGGAACACCGGCGGCGAAGGCGGCCUGCUGGACCGCGACUGACGUUGAGGCUCGAAAGCGUGGGGAGCGAACAGGAUUAGAUACCCUCGUAUG
rnacentral:rRNA from 1 species